rnacentral:rRNA from 1 species
CCUACGGGUGGCUGCAGUGGGGAAUAUUGGGCAAUGGGCGCAAGCCUGACCCAGCAACGCCGCGUGAAGGAAGAAGGCUUUCGGGUUGUAAACUUCUUUUGUCAGGGACGAAGCCAGUGACGGUACCUGACGAAUAAGCCACGGCUAACUACGUGCCAGCAGCCACGUUAAUACGUAGGUGGCAAGCUGUGUCCGGAUUUACUGGGUGUAAAGGGCGUGUAGCCGGGGUGACAAGUCAGAUGUGAAAUCCUGCGGCUUAACCGCAGUAAUGCAUUUGAAACUGUUGAUCUUGAGUACUGGAUAGGAAGAUGGAAUUCCUAGUGUAGCGGUGAAAUGCGGAGAUAUUAGGAGGAAAACCAGUGGCGAAGGCGGUCUGCUGGACAGCAACUGACGGUGAGGCGCGAAAGCGUGGGGAGCAAACAGGAUUAGAUACCCCAGUAGUC